ACUGAGCCUUGACUGAAGUCCAAAGCCUACUCGCAUUCCUGCAUUUAAUCCUCAAAAUCGCACUAAGAGGCAGGUGAUUAUUCCUAUUGUUCAGCUGAAGAAACCGAGGCAGAGAGGUGAAGAUCGUCACCUGGCCCAGACUAAGCCCUUCACCAUUAAGGUGUGAGCCCCAGGCCUCUGUUAUUUCACUGGGCAGCUCUCUUCGCUGGGGAAAAUGGCCCCUGCAGGCAGAGUUCUGUGAGUCUCGCUACUACUGCACCAUCCUUACUCAUUCUCCCUGAAUUCCAGAAAUGUAACAGGACCCACUGUGCACCUGCACUCUUCUAGACUCAGACGGUUCCACAGGGAACAAAACAAGAGAUUUUGGCCUCUUAGGACACCAGCGAGAGCACCUCCAGGAGAAGCCAGCAGGGCGACAGGAAUGGCCCCUCGAAGGAGGUGACACCUGAGCAGAGACCUGAGGGAGACUUCGUCCAUCUGAAAUGAAUUUGGCAGAAUGACACUCUCUUUCUUGUGAAAUCCAGUCCUGCCUUGGGAUCCACAGAUGCCCCGACAUGUCCUACCUUCCCCGUCCCUUGGUCCCUCAUUCAGUCACUCUACAAGUAUGUUUUGAGCCUUUGUUAGGCACCAAACACUGGUGAUCCUGCUUUGAAUAGAUCAUGUCCCUGUGCUGGGAAAGAUGCGUUCAAUGGAGGAGACAGGGAGCAAACAAACAAACAAACAAACGGUGCUGUGGCUUGGAUGUGUGUCCCCUCCUAAUCUCAUGUUGAAAUGUGACCCCCAGUGUUGGAAGUGGGCUUAGCUGGAGGUGUUGAGUCAUGGGGGUGGAUCCCUCAUGAAUGGGUCAGCCCUGCCCCUUGGCCAUGAGUGGUAGCGAGAUGCCAGAGCUGAUUGUUUAAAAGAGCCUGAGGCCGGGUACUGUGGCUCAUGCCUGUAAUCCCAGCACUUUGGGAGGCCGAGGCGGGCGAAUCACGAGGGCAGGAGAUCAAGACCAUCCUGGCUAUGGUGAAACCCCGUCUCUACUAAAAAUACAAAAAAUUAGCCAGGCGUGGUGGUGGGCACCUGUAGACCCAGCUACUCCAGAGGCUGAGGCAGGAGAAUGGCGUGAACCCGGGAGGCGGAGCUUGCAGUGAGCCGAGAUCCCGCCGCUGCAUUCUAGCCUGGGCGACAGAACGAGACUCUGUCUCAAUUAAAAAAAAAAAGAAAAAAAAAUUGCCUGGCACUUCCCCCUCUUUUUCUUGCUCCCUCUCUCGCCAUGUAACACAUCUGUUCGCCCUUUGCCUUCUACCAUGAGUAAAAGCUUCCUGAGGCCUCACCAAACCUGAGUAGAUGCUGGUGUCAUGCUGGUACAGCCUGCAGAACUGUGAACCAAAUAAGCCUCUUUUCUUUUUAAAUUACC
rnacentral:lncRNA from 1 species